UGCACCUCUCCUAGAUUCCAUUUAAGGCCUGACUGCCACUGGGGAAGGGUCUCUUUCUGAGAUCUUUUUGGGUCAGAACUCCUCCUUUUGGAGUUUUCUACUGUGAGCCUGAGACACAGAGCAGCUACAAAGGUUGGGACCUUCCCCACAGGUACUUGUGCAUUUUCAGGAGCUCAGCACCAUGCCAAAACCUUGGGGACUGGGAGAACGACUGAAAGAUGAACUCAACGCUGUUACUGUUACUGGUUUGACUCCCAUCUGAACUCUGCCAAUGAAAGCUAUAUCAUCCUGACAAGAAAUCAGCUGCUGCCUGAAACCUCUGACUUUGAGGUCAGGCUGGGUUUCCCUGAGGUCUUGGAGGUUGUGUGCAGAAUGAUUUUCCCAGCCUUGCUGCGGUGUGGUGGCUCAGCUGGCAGAGCAUCCUGUUGCCAUGGGGCAGCAAGCCAGGUCUGGGGAUUUUCACACAUGUCUCCCUUCUCAGCCUGCACAUUCAUUUAUACAUGGAACCAUGGCCAAGUGCUGCACAGCAGAUGAAUGUGGGGCUUUCUGGGAGGUGGUGGAGGAAGCUGAGGCAUGGCUCUGCGUGCCUGCCAAAAGGCUGAGCUUCUCAGAGGGUUAGAUUCUACACCUGUGGCUAAUUAAUUAAUGAGGCCAAUAAAUGAAUGACUUCCAGCACUGCUGUUACUGCUAUGCUGUGAGAAACAGUGGCUGGUUUCCUGCAUUACCUUGUUUUUUCCACAUUGUAAUCUCUCUGCUGUGCUGCUCAUACUAGGGACAGUGGCACGAGCACUGCUGGCAGUCAGUCUCCCAGUUAGCUGUGUUGUAAAUGUGGUGUGGAGAGAAGUUUUUCUGAACACCUUAACUUCUUCCUGGGCAGGCUCCCUAAAAUUGGGGAAUUUAUCUUGCUUAGCACAUUCAGAAUGUGGCACAUAGCUUGAAACGGAAACUCCUAUUUCUCCUUGACUGGAAAUCUCUUUAAAAUCUCAGCACACCCACACACUGAAGGUCGGGCUCAUUUGAUGCAUACCCAAGAUCUCCCUGGGUGGUACAACACAUUGCUGCAUCUGCACAGUUUUUCUUUUAAUCUGCUGUGCUGGACUUUUUGGCAGUGAGGCUAUUGCAGUCACUCAGAAACACUUUAUUUCUUUGAGAAACAGAUAAAGGGUGAAUUCUAAAAAAGGACAUACUCUUUCUAAACAAGCAUUGGGUUUGAGUCUUACUGUGAAUUUGUAGCCUUUGCUGAAGACUGUUGAUAAAGUCAGACAUAUGAAGAGAGAACUUUCUCUGCAUGAAAAACACAAGCUAUCUUCUAAAUCAAAUAUGGAAAGCCUCAAAUCCUUUUUAAUUCCCAUUUUGGUUAUUCAGCCUACUUAAAAAAAAAAUGGCGUAAUGCUGAAAUACAGUAAAGGCAAAUUAUUUUGUAGCCACAAUAAUGAAGGACACCUUGCACUGUAAUAAUGUGAUGAUCUCUACUUAGUGGCAUCAGUACCUUCAGGGCUGCUAUCACCUCUCUUAAUAAUACCUUCAAGAAAUGGGUGCAGUACAAGUGAAUGCCAUCAUUUUGGGAAAUUUCUUAGUAAUAUUCUUUGCUGGAGAAAAAUGAUCUUAGCACCUGAUGUUCUGACUCACUCUCAUGGCUUAGUUCUCCUUAAUUCCACCUCUAUGUUGGUGUCUCUUUUGACACUGUUAUCUGAGAUAAAUAUGUUACAGAAGAGAGAAAAGGAAAAUGCUAAGUGAAAAUGGAUAAAGUUCUUAAAACAAGAAAAUAAUGGAGAAAAGAGUUGUAGAGUACAGAAAUGAACAAAGUGAAUUCACCCUGUGUAAAAAAGAGGUUUGAUGUGGUACCCAGGGUCCAGAAGACUGACCACAUGUCAACUUUUCUCCCUUGGUCCUUUGCAAGUCAGAAUGAAGUUGGCCAGUGAAUUAAAGACUUAAAAGGAGCCAACUAAAAUGAAGUUUAAACAAAAAGUGGUUUUGAAAAGAGCAUUUUCUUUCCUUCAUAUUAGGAUCUGUAUCCAGAACUACUUCAGGUCAAACCACUCACAAAUCCAGCUCUCAUUCUCAAGGCGUCUAAUUACUAGAAAUUGGUGAUGUCAAUUUCUACAGUUUGAAACUUUCUUGAAACCUGAGGCAUUCCAAGGUCUUUGAUUUAAUCCUUUCCAAGAAUCUCACUGUAUUGGCAGUCUUUGAAUCCUGUUUGUACUUAGAACUGAUCAAAUUUUAGGUAUGUUGUUACCGAGCAAAGUAAUGUAAGACCUGUAGGGCUGAAAUACUCAUGAGGAAGACCUGUGGGAAAGUUCCUAUUCUUCUGUUUUCUCAUGUCCUGACUGAGUUCUCUGAAAACCAGCAGAUAGCUGCUGCUCUGCAAGUCAAGAAGUCUUGAGUUGGAAAUGUGGAUAACAAUUUUGUCAGAAUUUAUAUUUUCUUCUGAAAUAUUAUUAUUGUUUUAAGACUAAUUCCAUAUAUUUGGAUAACAGAGCUUGUUACUGAUAACUUCUUGGUCAUCUCUGCUAUGAAUAGUUUGUAUAAAGAGUGCUGACCGUAACUGGAAUACAGGUUAAAGUUCUAGGGGAUUAAAGUUGCAGUGUUGGAUCAGAAUGCUUUUGGGACAAGAUAAAAACAAUGCCCUAUGCUUAAUCUAUAGCACACCUUUGCAAUCCCAGUAUUAUCUCUCCUCUAAAGACAAAUAACAAUUACUGUCCUUCUGAAACUCUUGUUUUUCCAUGGUAGUACAUCUGUAAGAAAUGCAAGCCAUGGAAGAUCUGAAUGUAUCUUCAAACAAUGCCAUGCAGCAUUGCCCUAUGAUUAGCCAUGACUCAGUCACAUCUGGUUUCUAACUCGUGUCUCAGAUCUUUUAAAGAUCUUGGCAUCAUAGUGGAUGAAGGUUAUAAAUCAUUUUGAGAGGAUCAUGAUUAAAAUAGAGAAGUUUUCUCUGAGGAGACAAAUUUAAAAACAUAAAGUUGAUAAACAACGAUAAGUAUAUCUGAAUUAUCUGAAUAUCUCGUCUUCUUGCAUGAAGUGUAGUCAAGAGCAUUUGCUGUUUUUCUAGAGUGGUAUAUCUAGGUUAGAAAGCAGUCCUAGGUCAAUUCUUAGCCUGAUGAUAAUGCACUGAAAUCAUAAUGCUGACCAUUUAAGUGCUUCUUCUGACUUCUUUUUUUGAGUAUUUCUGGCUUUAAUGAUAGUAACAGCCACUUGAAGUUCAUGUGAGGAAAAUAUGUCUAUGUAAUAGGUCAAAUUUGAGUUCUCUUUCUAACAUCUUGUGUAAAUACACCUCAGUCACUGGGUGAAUUUACUAUUAUGACCUGUUAGUGAGAGCUCUGAAUUAUCCAUAAAAAUGGUGCUGUUUAAGGCCAGCCUUGAAGAGCUAGGUCCCUGGCUGAGAAAAUCAUAUUGUUAAUGAAACUUCAUCUUUUGGCCUUUUAGUGAAGGCUGUAACAGGCUUCAGAGAUUAGGCAAAAUAGGCAACCUGUCACAACAGGCUGCACUGGUC